rnacentral:rRNA from 1 species
AUUGAACGCUGGCGGCAGGCUUAACACAUGCAAGUCGAGCGAGCGGCGGACGGGUGAGUAAUGUCUGGGAAACUCCCUGAUGGAGGGGGAUACUUCCUGGAACCGGUAGCUAAUACCCCAUACCAUCAGAUGUGCCCAGAUGGGAUUAGCUAGUAGGUGGGGUAAUGGCUCACCUAGGCGACGAUCCCUACUGGGUCUGAGCGGAUGACCAGGCACACUGGAAAGGAGACACGGUCCAGACGCCUACGGGAGGCAGCAGUGGGGAAUAUGGCACGAUGGGCGCAAGCCUGAUGCAGCCAUGCCGCGUGUGUGAAGAAGGCCUUCGGGUUGUAAAGCACUUGCAGCGAGGAGGCGUUACUCGCAGAAGAAGCACCGGCUAACUCCGUGCCAGCAGCCGCGGUAAUAC